rnacentral:rRNA from 1 species
AUGUUUCUCGAGAGAGACUGCCUUCUCUCUGGCUAGCAGUCUUAUGCUUAUAGUCGACUGCUCUAUGACGAUCUGACCUCUUUCCUGGGCUCUGCUUGCUCGUCUACACUCCGACAAAUUCAGUCAAAAUAAAAAACGAUGUUCCCUUGA